rnacentral:rRNA from 1 species
ACUCCUACGGGAGGCAGCAGUAGGGAAUCUUCCACAAUGGACGAAAGUCUGAUGGAGCAACGCCGCGUGAGUGAAGAAGGGUUUCGGCUCGUAAAAACUCUGUUGUUAAAAGAAGAACAUAUCUGAGAGUAACUGUUCAGGUAUUGACGGUAUUUAACCAGAAAGCCACGGCUAACUACGUGCCAGCAGCCGCGGUAAUACGUAGGUGGCAAGCGUUGUCCGGAUUUAUUGGGGCGUAAAAGCGAGCGCAGGCGGUUUUUUAAAGUCUGAUGUGAAAGCCUUCGGCUCAACCGAAGAAAGUGCAUCGGAAACUGGGAAAACUUGAGUGCAGAAAGAGGACAGUGGAACUCCAUGUGUAGCGGUGAAAAUGCGUAGAUAUAUGGAAGAACACCAGUGGCGAAGGCGGCUGUCUGGUCUGUAACGUGACGCUGAGGCUCGAAAGUAUGGGUAG